AGGGUUUGAUUAUGGCUCAGGAUGAACGCUGGCGGCGCGCCUAACACAUGCAAGUCGAACGGCACCCCUCCUCGGAGGGAAGCGAGUGGCGAACGGCUGAGUAACACGUGGAGAACCUGCCCCCUCCUCGGGGAUAGCCGCGGGAAACCGCGGGUAACACCCGACGACCCCGGAGCCGCGCAUGCGGCGCCGGGCAAAUCUCCGGAGGGAGGGGAUGGCUCCGCGGCCCAUCAGGUAGACGGCGGGGUGACGGCCCACCGUGCCGACAACGGGUAGCCGGGUUGAGAGACCGACCGGCCAGAUUGGGACUGAGACACGGCCCAG
rnacentral:rRNA from 1 species